rnacentral:rRNA from 1 species
AUGAGUUUGCUAAUCUGGAACUGCCGGGGGGGGGGGGACCGCCAAACAGUUCGUGAGGUUUUGGCCCUCUACAAAGCCAAUUCCCCGGGGCUUGUUUUCCUUUCAGAGACUAGACAAGCCUCUAGUAAGAUGGAGAAGCUUAAGUGGAGACUAAGAAUGAAGGGUUUUGCCUGUGUAUCUAGCGAUGGUCUCAUCGGGGGCCUUGUGCUAUAC